ensembl:Mt_rRNA
CAAAGGCUUGGUCCUGACCUUACUAUCAGCUUUAACUAAAUUUACACAUGCAAGUCUCCGCACCCCUGUGAGGAUGCCCUUAAUCCCCUGCCCGGGGCUGAGGAGCUGGCAUCAGGCACACAUUGUAGCCCAAGACGCCUUGCUAAGCCACACCCCUACGGGUACUCAGCAGUGAUAAAUAUUAAGUGAUAAGCGAAAGCUUGACUUAGUUAUUGUUAAAAGGGCCGGUAAAACUCGUGCCAGCCACCGCGGUUAUACGAGAGGCCCUAGUUGAUAAUUGUCGGCGUAAAGAGUGGUUUAGAAAAUAAUUUAAUAAAGCCGAACACCUCCUCAGUUGUUAUACACAUUUGAAGAUAUGAAGCCCUGCCGCGAAAGCAGCUUUAAGUAUCCUGAACCCACGACAGCUAUGGUACAAACUGGGAUUAGAUACCCCACUAUGCAUAGCCAUAAAUUUUGAUAAAAAUAUACAAUUUUAUCCGCCAGGGAACUACAAGCAUCAGCUUAAAACCCAAAGGACUUGGCGGUGCUUCAGACCCACCUAGAGGAGCCUGUUCUAUAACCGAUAACCCCCGCUUAACCUCACCAGCCCUUGUUCACCCCGCCUAUAUACCACCGUCGCCAGCUUAUCCUGUGAAGGUCCCAUAAUAAGCAAAAUGGGUAAAACCCAGAACGUCAGGUCGAGGUGUAGCGCAUGAGCUGGGAAGAAAUGGGCUACAUUUUCUAAUUCAGAAUAUACGGAACUACACUGUGAAACCAGUGCCCAAAGGUGGAUUUAGCAGUAAACAGAAAAUAGAGUGUUCUCUUGAAACUGGCUCUGAAGCGCGCACACACCGCCCGUCACUCUCUCCAAGUUCAACCCUAUUAUUAAAUAAAAAAUAUAUCGAACAAAGGAGAGGCAAGUCGUAACAUGGUAAGUGUACCGGAAGGUGCACUUAGUUUAAU